AAAAAAUUACACUGGAGCAGCCAAGUGUCAAGUCUCUUGUAGUGCCAAGACCCCACCCCAGCACCACACCUUGGUAUGGAGACUGACUAGGCAAAGUUAGGUGGUCACCUCCAUACUGAGGGCCUGCAGCAGUUGAUCCUCUAACUUCUUCCUCAUGCUCCUCCGGAUGCCAUCCAUCCGUCUAUAGGGCUGGCUGCGCAGACCUGCAUGGAUUUGUGGGAUGAAUGAACAGACGACGUCAGAUGCUCAGAUGCAGAGAUGCAGAGAUGUCCUCCCCUUUCCCACAUGCAAACCCAGCGACUCAUGCAGUGAGAGGAACGAUAUGGCGUGAAUGAGGACCGUGGAAAGAUGGACGGAAGAGAGAGAGAGAGAGAGAGAGAGAGAGAGAGAGAGAGAGAGCUGGUGAGUUCGGGAGAGACGGCGUUGGUAGGAAGAAGAGAAAGAGAGAGAAAGAGGAAUGGACGUGAGAGGAGAGCGAGUUUCGGAAAGCCACCUUGUUGACGAGGAGGAGGAGAGGUUUUUGUUUUAGGCUAAUAGUGGAAGUCCUCGUUGUGGGCGGGGUCACAGAAGAAGCGCGAGCCCCGUUUGGCUGAUCGCGCCGUAAAUGGGACAGUCUUCAGCACUGCAGCGAGACAACAGCCAAUCACAAGCCAGAAAUACAGCUACUGCUCAUUUAAACAGAUCACCUGGGACAUGCUUGCUACAUAGACUUAGACUUGCUAUCCUAGUUCCAUACAUAGACUUGCUAUCCUAGUUAGCAACUAUUACAAUAAACAUGUACAGGUUUCUAAGGUUACGACUUUGCCCAAAGUAAAAACCUAGUCUCACAGAUAAACUUAAAUUACCUAUGUUUCUUAGUUAAAAAAGCACACUUUUCCAUAAAGAAAACCAUGUAAACUAAAGACAAGUAAAAAAACAUUUCUUAUGAACUAUGAUUUCAAGCCUGGAACAUUGAUCUUUUUUAAUUUCAGGUUUAAUAUGACUAAUGAGGCAGGUUUGAAUAUGAUGCAGGUAUUCACUGAUGUAGUUUCAAAUCACUACCGGUACUUAAUUUUAAGUGUCAAAUGAGACUAGGAAAUAAUGACCACAGUGCAGACAUUUUCAUCCCUGUAAAACCUCACACAGGAAAUGGACUGGAUGUGUGGACAUUUUCACAUGUUAGAUAAACACCUUUGUGUGUAUGUGCAUCCAUGCGUGUGUGUCUGUGUGGGCAUUCAUGUGUGUAAUACUGCAAUGUGACUUUAUCGACAGGUAUUGAACUGUGCCACUGUUUGUUUGAUUGUUUGUGUGUGUGUGCGCACACGUGUGUGUGUGUGUGUGCGCA